AUAUUUGACUGGCAGUGAAAUGACUGAGUUGCAUUCAAAAGAGAGAAAUUAAAACUGUAUUUUGGGCCGGGCGCGGUGGCUCACGCCUGUAAUCCCAGCACUUUGGGAGGCCGAGGCGGGUGGAUCAUGAGGUCAGGAGAUCGAGACCAUCCUGGCUAACAAGGGGAAACCCCGUCUCUACUAAAAAUACAAAAAAUUAGCCGGGCACGGUGGCGGGCGCCUGUAGUCCCAGCUACUCG
rnacentral:lncRNA from 1 species